rnacentral:rRNA from 1 species
UACGAAGGGUGCAAGCGUUACUCGGAAUUACUGGGCGUAAAGCGUGCGUAGGCGGUUUGUUAAGUCGGUGGUGAAAUCCUGGAGCUCAACUCCAGAACUGCCUUCGAUACUGGGAAGCUCGAGUCCGGGAGAGGUGAGUGGAACUGCGAGUGUAGAGGUGAAAUUCGUAGAUAUUCGCAAGAACACCAGUGGCGAAGGCGGCUCACUGGCCCGGUACUGACGCUGAGGUGCGAAAGCGUGGGGAGCAAACAGG